GGUGAAACUCAACCUUUUCGACUUUAUUCAGCCUUUGUAGACCUUUCCUUUCUGACAUUCUUUCUUUUUCACUUUUUUUUUGUUUUUUUUAGAUUCUUCUUUUUUCUUUCCCUAUAAUUUAAUUGAAGCCGCAACCCUAUCCAUUUAUUCAUUCGACCCAAUUUUAUUUUGUUCCGUUCCAAGAAUUCUAACAUGGUUUUAUACCCAUUUAGGAACAAUGAAAUAUUCUCAGAACUUUCCGUGGAUGCGACAUGCUAUUUUUACCAUUCAUUCCCUUUCAGGAUCAGUCGUGGUCUUCCAAACUUUACCGUGGAGUAGUGUGACUAUGUUACUAUUGACAGAUUUCAAUGCCAUAAGACGUAUCAAUAGUUUUCUAUUAUGGUCUUCCAAACUUUACCGAGAGUAUGGACGAAUCGCUCACUUCAUCCAUAUGUGUAAA
rnacentral:lncRNA from 1 species